rnacentral:rRNA from 1 species
UACAGAGGGGGCAAGCGUUGUUCGGAAUUACUGGGCGUAAAGAGCGCGCAGGCGGUCGUUCAAGUCGCGUGUGAAAGCCCCCGGCUCAACUGGGGAGGGUCACGCGAUACUGAUCGACUCGAAGGCAGGAGAGGGUAGUGGAAUUCCCGGUGUAGUGGUGAAAUGCGUAGAUAUCAGGAGGAACACCGGUGGCGAAGGCGGCUUUCUGGACAGAUACCGACGCUGAGGCACGAAAGCUAGGGGAGCAAACAGG